CAGCUAGUUGGUGCGGUAAAGGCGCACCAAGGCGAUGAUCCGUAGCUGGUCUAAGAGGACGAUCAGCCACACUGGGACUGAGACACGGCCCAGACUCCUACGGGAGGCAGCAGUGAGGAAUAUUCCACAAUGGGCGCAAGCCUGAUGGAGCGACGCCGCGUGAAGGAAGAAGGCCUUCGGGUUGUAAACUUCUUUUUUUGGGGAUGACACACGGGGAAGCCGCAAGGUAACCGCGUUAGGACAGUACCCAAAGAAUAAGCAUCGGCUAACUACGUGCCAGCAGCCGCGGUAAUACGUAGGAUGCUAGCGUUGUCCGGAUUUACUGGGCGUAAAGCGCGCGCAGGCGGCAUACCAAGUACGAAGUGAAAUCUCCCUGCUCAACGGGGAGGGUGCUUUGUAAACUGGUAAGCUAGAGGACGGUAGAGGGGGGUAGAAUUGCUGGUGUAGCGGUGAAAUGCGUAGAGAUCAGCAGGAAUACCCGUGGCGAAGGCGGCCCCCUGGGCCGAACCUGACGCUGAGGCGCGAAGGCUAGGGGAGCGAACGGGAUUAGAUACCCCGGUAGUCCUACCAGUAAAC
rnacentral:rRNA from 1 species